rnacentral:rRNA from 1 species
UACAGAGGGGGCCAGCGUUAUUCGGAAUUAUUGGGCGUAAAAGGCGCGUAGGCGGCUCUGCGUGUCUUUCGUGAAAUCCCUCGGCUUAACCGGGGAACUGCAUCUGAUACUGGAUGGCUUGAGUUCGGGAGAGGGAUGCGGAAUUCCAGGUGUAGCGGUGAAAUGCGUAGAUAUCUGGAGGAACACCGGUGGCGAAGGCGGCAUCCUGGACCGACACUGACGCUGAGGAGCGAAAGCCAGGGGAGCAAACGGG